GGGAAAGCCAUUCGUGGGAAGGGAUGGGUUUCCCACAACAGCAAUAAGGAAUGCCAGGACUUCUGCUAUGUUUGUGACUGUAAAGGGCGCAGUUUUCUGCAGAAGCAGUUUUGGGUUCACACAAGUCCCAGAUAUAGAAAACCUUAGGAUACUUCAUUUACUGAAAACGUUUAACACCAGUUACUGGAAUGCUCCAUAACAAGAGCGAGGAAACAGUAUUUUAUCUUGAUUAUUGUGAAGACGUUUCUCAUUUUUGUAAAAGUUUAUUUAAAAUCUGCAAAACUUUCUGACGUAAUUGCACAAACAGCAAAGCUUACAGCAUUAUUUGGUUUUCAUACCGUAAAUUUACAAAGAAAGUAAGAAAGUCUUGUUUAGUGCAUCUAUUUGUCCUAAAUCCCUUCAUUUGAAUGUUAUUUGUUUUUCUUUCAUUCAACACUUCUUGAUCAAACAGACUACAUGUGGACGUCUCAAAGCAAAUAACCUGAUAGUUUAACUACUGUGACUAUAAACCUGGAAACAAUGUCAUCACUAAACCCAGUUACAGCUGUGAAGCAGGCACUCAUAACACUCAGCCACAACACAAACAACAAAACAUCAGCUCCUCUAAAUCUGAGAGCAUGGUCUUGACUAGGAACGGGGUAGAAUGCCUUCUCCAGGUCAGGGAUGAGGUCCUGCUCCAAGUGGAGGAGUUUAAGUAUCUCAGGGUCUUGUUCAUAAGUGAGGGAAAGAUGGAGAGUGAGAUUGGCAGGUGGAUUGGUGCUGCAUCUGCAGUGAUGCGAGCGUUGUAGCGGUGAAGAGAGAGCUGAGUCAGAAGGCAAACCUCUUGAUUUACCGGUUGAUCUACGUUGUCACCUAUGGUCACAAGCUUUGGGUAGUGACCAAGGGCGUCAGUUUGUUUUCAGAAUUGCUGGGGACAAUAACCAUACACUUGAGUGGGGCUUAAAAAUUGCUGGGGACAAUAAAGUAGGCUAGCACAGGGGUCGGCAACCCGCAGCUCUGGAGCCGCAUGCGGCUCCUCCAUCCAUCUGAUGCGCUCUCUGUGCUUGUAAAAUAAUGAAUGGAUAUUUAAAUAAAAUGCUUUAUAUUUUACUGCAUUAAUUUUACAUCUGUAUGCCAAUUCUAAAUGUAAAGAUUGUCUGCGUAAACCUGAACAGGUCCAACCCGGUCUGUGAGACAGGGUUGACGCGUCACGCUUGUGCGUAAUCAUAUCGGCGCUUCUGAGCUGCUUUCUGACCUUCCCCACCUACAAAGUUUAAUUACAACAAUCAAACGUGACAGAGCCUGGAUUUGUAUUCUGAACAGUCUAAACAUGUUUUAAAAAGAAACGUAGGACAAAAGUGGCACCUGCUCAGUAAAACCACCAACAGUGUGAAUAUUGAAGGCAGAGACGGGCUACAGCUUCUGGAUCCACUUUAUUUAAUCGUUUUAUUGAUUAUCUUUUUAUGAAAGAUAACUUUGACGUACAUGAGCGAUCAGGCGCGUUGCAAGCUUUUCAAAAGUGUAGGGGAUGUUGUCUGUGCCUAAAAUAAUUUCAUGUUCAUCUUGUUAUUUUAAUUUCCAUAAUAGCGGAGCAGGUGCGAAUUUUAGACGCGUCACGCAUGUCUCCGUUUUAAACAUGUUUAAACUGUUCAGAAUACAAAUCCAGGCUCUGUCUCGUUAGAUUGGUGUAACUAAAGUUUGUACUGAAUGAAACUUUACAUUAAACCAUGUUGAAAAGAAAAGGAUCCGAUUAAAUUGUUUCCCCCUCAUUUACAGUCAGUGCAGCGCAGUGCGCACGGCUCUGGGGUUAAUCAAGUUUAGUUGUUUCUCUUUGCAACAAUCUUCACAAGAAGGCAAAAGAGUUAAAUGACAGGUUACAGAUAUUUCCAUUUGACUGUUUAUUUUGACGGAUAAACUCAAGGAUGUUGGUUGAUUUCCUCCCACUGAAGCGGUCUGGAAACCCGGUCUCUCUGAGGGAUCUGUCACUUGGAAAAUGUUAUUUUUAUGAAAUUAUGAAAGUUUGGCUGAAUAGCGCUUGUUCCCGUCUCCAAUAUGGAGACGCAUGAUGCAUCCAGUCGCCUCUUCAGCUCAUAAAGCACCUGUAGAGACACUUGGUCACGCACAAAGUUCAUGUGGAGCAGAAGCGGUCGGGCUACGGCAGGUGAAAUGUUCCUAGCCUACAUGAAGUGAAACUGUUUAAUUGUAACAUUAAUGUGUUACUGGACACGCUGGUCUGGUUGGUUAGACCAGUGUUUGAAGUGGAAAACACACACACACACACACACCAAUUAAAAUAAUGCUGAUAGCGUGGACUAGAAGACAGGUGAUGGUUUACGUAUUUAAAUGAUGAUCAGACUGCUGUAAAAUGUAAUCUCCAUCCACAUCCAGACAAUUAUCCUCUAUUCUUUCUCUAGUUGCUCUGCUCUUGUCUGGGCUGACAGCUGACGGUGCGCGCGGUGCGCCUAGUGGCUGUGAUGCACAUUUUACGCAUUUGGAGAGGUGGACCGGAUGCUUUGCUUUUACUGGAAGAUGGUCCACUUAACGCACGGUUGUAGACUACAUAUUAAUGACAAAUGAAUGAAAAUUAAAUUGUGAGUUUUUACUUCAUAUUUUAUAAAUAAAAAUGACGGGGGAACACAUUUAUGACGUCUUUUUAAACUAAAUUUUCUAGCGCGACCUGCCUGCUUCACUUGUCACUGCUUAUUAAGGUCCGUCCAAAAUUACCGUGGCCCAUCCAAAAAUGAAAACCUGACGCCACGCCUGUUAUAAACCUCUGCAGAUUGGUGUUCUUCACUUGAUCAAACUCAGACUUUGUACAGCUAAUGUCAAGAUGUAAAAUUAUGAAUUCAGUCAACCUCUUCCAUCCCUCCAUCUCCUGCUCUCCUUGAACCCGACAUCGGCUGUCAGAAUAGGGGAGGUGAAGAAGGAGAUGAGGCAAACAGAGUGAGUGCGACCUGAAGAAACCAGACUGGAGUGGAGGUGAGCAAAACAGCUGGAAAAGUGUGGGUGUUGCAUCCCCCACGGGUGUGACGCCCAUAGUACCGGCUGCUGUCACCUGUUGUGAGCAGCUCUCUGCUGUCUGAGGGUAGGCCCCACCCACAAUGCCGCGGCUGCUGCGGUGUUUUCUUUACUGUGGGAAACGGGUAAUAAUGGCUCUUUGAUGGGAACAGGUUGCCGACCCCUGGUAUAAGAUCUGAGCUGGUAAAACAAAAAUCCUCAUCAGCAGGCUUUUUUGAAAGUGGGGGGGGGGGACACAGCUGCCAAUUACAAAUUUUGCCGGGGACAUGUCCCCGGCGUCCCCGGUUAAAAUGACGCCUAUGCUAGUAGUGACCAAAAGAACAAGAUCACGGACACAAGCGGCCAAAAUUUGUUUCCUCUGCAGGGUGGCUGGGCUCUCCCAAAGAGAUAGGGUGAGAAGCUCGGUCAUCCGGGAGGGGCUCAGCGUAGACCGGCUGCUCCUCCACGUCUAGAGGAGCCAGUGGAAGUGGCUCGGGCAUCUAGUCAGGAUGCCUCCUGGACUUCUCCCUGGUGAGGUUUUCUUGGCACGUCCAACUGGGAGGAGACCUAAAGGGAGACACAGGACACGCUGGAGAGACUAUGUCUCUCGGCUGGUCAGGGAACGCCUUGGGAUUCCCCCGGAGGAGCUGGUCCAACUAGCUGGGGAGAGGGAAUUCUGGGCCUUCAUGCUUAGGCUGCUGCCCCCAUGACCCGACUCUGGGUGAGUGGAGGAAGGAAGGAUGGAUAGAUUUAUUUUUACGGUUAUUUCUCUUCUUUUGUAAUUCAUACAUUUUUGUAAUACUUUAUGCACUUUUAACAAUGGACCCCCGGAUGAUUGCUCUCACUGGUUGACUAUUGGAGAUCCACGAAGGAAAACUUCUAACAAUAAUGCUUUAUUACUAGUAAAAAAUUACGUUUUUUCAGGCAUUUUAAAAUGGUAUUAUGCACCACCACUUUGAAGAUAUAAACAUUUGCAAAUGUUAAUUUAAGUUGAAGUUUAUCCCAUAUAAUGGCUGUUCUAUAAUAUGUUUUUGAGAAAAACAACCGAGAUUGUCACUGUUGGAGAAAAUCAGUUUACUGCAGUUAGUGUCAUGAGCCGAGGUGAACCACCUGUCCAUAGACAAUCUUUCAGCCUUCUUUCAGGUGGGAGAGACGAAGAGGCACCAGCUGGAUCCAAUCAUCACUGAUGGGGUCAGGUCUAAAAGGAGGAUGAGGACACCACACCUCGCUGGAUGAUUGUUACUGUUUGGGCACCUUCAACAACGCUCCAAAGCUACCAUAAACCUCUGGAUCCCUCUGGACCCCGUCUCUUCCUCUUCCACUGACCAACCCGUUCUCUCUCUCCGCUCUCCCACCCCUCUAGUUGGACUCUGAACCUCGGCUCGCUGCCUUUCCCACGCUCACAAGGUCUCGCCUCCUACUCCCUCCUGACCCGCUACGCUCUCACCGGACGUCCCGGUGCACCUUUAGUUCCCGUUUUGCAUAAUAAAUGUUUUCUUUCAACUUACCUUUGUCGUGUUGAUUCUGCAUGUCUUGGGUUAAACUCCUUUCUCAGAACAUGACAGUCAUGUUUUAAAUGAACAUUUUAUAAAAUUGAUGUAUCUUCAUGUUAUGUAAAGUCUUAUCUCUGAGUAGGUUUAAUCAGUUUCUUCAUGCUCUCUUGUGACUAAAGAGUCUCUUGGUGACCUGACUGUUGACUCUGUGGGGUUUUCUGAUCAUGCAGCAAAUAUAUUUGACAUCACACGUCUCCUACCUCCAGCUCAGAGGCAGGUUGCUCGUUACUCUAGGCGUAUACUAGUAUAACCUCUGACUUCCUGUUGACUCUGGAUAUUGAGUCUCUCAUCCCACCCCCCUCAGCCUCUUGCAUGGAUGUAGAUGGCCUUCUGCAUCUGUUCAGUACAACCUGCUCUGCCGCCCUGGAUGCCGUUGCCCCUCUCAGACCUAGGAGGAAUUGGAUUAUUUCAGACCCUUGGCUAAAUGAUUAGACCCGGAGCUCCAUGUAACGGUGCAGAGUGUUGGAGCGAAGGUGGAAGAAAGACAGACUCCCAUGCUCUCAGCAGCUCCUGGUUGAUGCCCUUUCCUGUUGUCAGAAAGCUGUUAGAUCUGCACCAAAUAACUAUUUUUCUAACAUCAUUGCACAGCACCGACCAGUCUAAACUAUAUAGUACAGUCAAUUCUUGUCAUUGUCUGAAACUGAUGGCAUAAUUUGUACUGUAGCUUUCUAUACAGAGUUACAGAAAUUUUUAUAAACAGAAUUCUAGACAUUAGGUCUGGCCUUGAAUGUCACAGAAUGAGUGACAGGCUGAAGGCAUGCAUGGAAGCCUUCAGCCUUCCAUGGAUGCCGACGGACUCUGGUCUGUCGGCAUGCAAGGAAGAUAUACAGGACCGGCUAGCUUAAAUCAACUAAAAACUGAGUCCAUCAUUUUUGAUCGCAGAGGGCCCCCUUGCUCUCAGUCUGCUACUGAUCCUUUGACCUCUACACACAAGCGGUGUGUCUUGGGGUAAAAUUAGAUGCUGAACUCUCAAUGGUUUCUCAGGUAAAUUCUGUAGUGAGGUCGUGUUUUUACCAGUUUCGUUGUCUAUCUCAUCUGAAACCAAUUCUGAAGCGGAUGCAUUUGGAAUCAGUUAUUCAUGCAUUUAUCACCUCCCGAUUAGACAUUGCAAACGCGCUCCUCCCUGGCAUUCCCAACUCGGUCUUAAACCAGCUACAGGUUGUCCAGAAUGCAGCUGCAAGGUUCCUAACGACUACAAACAGACGUAACCACAUCACGCCGGUCCUUGCACGCCUUCAUUGGCUCCCUGUCACAUUCUGUGUACCGUUCAAGCUGCUGACUUUUGUUUUUAAAGCACUAUAUGGUGAAGCACCAGCAUACCUGUCAGAACUGCUUAUGUUCCCACGCGCUGGCUGAGGCCAGCUGAUCACCUCCUGCUCUGUAUUCCACAGAUGUGCUAUAAAUCGAGGUGUGAGCGAGCAUUUGGCCAUGCUGCCCCCCAGCUGUAGAAUGCAUUGCCCAUCACUGUAAGGCAGGCUCCCUCUUUGGCAGUCUCACAUGAACACCCACUUUUAUGGAUUAGCUUUUAAUUUCUGACUCGUGGGGUCGUUUCUCUGUUUUAUUGUCUAAACUGUGCUUUUAGUGUUUUAAUAUAUUAAUGUGUUUUGAAUUGGGAUCCUAUUUGUGCACUUUUUUUAAUCGCUAUUUUAGUGAUUUUAAGUUGCUGUAUUUGCCUGUGAAGCACUUUGGUCAGCUCUCAUGUUGUGUAUAAAAUUGUGCUAUACAAAUAAAAUGGUACGGUAUGGUGUUUGGACGGAUGACAUCCGAUUCAUUAGUUCUUCUGAUUCCGUUCAUCUUUAGAACAGAAUCUAAUCCUGGAACAUGAACCAGUCCAGAUGUGUGUGCUUUUUCAGGUCUGGUAGUCCAGUAGGACAGAAGGAUGUUCUCAGCUGCUCUGAAACCAUAGUUACUGCUGCUGCCAUGGUAACAUUGGAACCAGAGUCUGAAAGCUCUUUUGUUUAAUCAGUGCUUUGAAGUAAACAUCAGGACGUUUUAGUGGUUAGCUUCUUUAAUCAAAUAUAAGUUGUGCUGAGGCAUCAGUAAAUAAUUCCCAAAGUCAUAAAGGACAGAUUUAUCUAGAUUAUCUACACAGCGGUGAGUCUUUGUGGGUUAGGGAGGGUGGAAGUUUCUCCUGAGAUCUCUUCAUUCUCAACGACCAAAACCUCGUGAUUACUCCAAAAUGUUGCAAAUUACGGAUCAGCGCCAGAAGAUUCUGGAUGACAGGUGAAGACAAGUCAUACACAUAUCCGUUCUAGAGGAGAACUAUGGUGGAAAAACUUAAUGUCAAAGAGCUUGGACCAGAUCAGCCCGAUGUAAAGAUAAACCAGCAGGACAAGGAGAAGGAAGGUGGAUGUGGAACUUGUGUCUCAUUGGGGACUCCAUUCAUUCUCUGACUGAGGAAUGCAGCGCAUCAGUGCAGCAGCCAACAAAGAAACGGAGGACGUUUGGACAGGGAGAACAGCAGCUGGGUGCAGAGGUAAGCUGUACAUUACAUUUCUGUAAUCAGAAUCAGAAAUCCUUGGUUGUCCCACAAACUGGGACAUUUGUUUAAUAACAUGUACAUUGUUUAAUGUGCAAUAACUGUAAAAACUAAUUUCAACACACAUACUUAUUAUACAUAUUUAAUCAUGUAAAUGUGUAUUUCAAGUAAAUUUGUACAUACAUCAAUCUGAUUCCAUUUUACUUGUUACACUUCUGCUGCAGCAAACAAAUUUCCCAGCUUUUGGGACAAUAAAACAUUUCUGAUUCUCAAUGAGAUGUUUUUUACAUUUGAAGUAAAAACAUCUCAUUGAGAACCAGCAAUGUUUUAUUGUCCCAAAAAGUGGGAAAUAUGACAUUUGUAAGAGGAUACUGAUGACAUUAUUUCCUAUGAAAGUGUUUCCACUUUCCACAAGUCCUAACAGUGUAAAUUUCUGGCAUUUUGUCUAAGUAGUGUUUACUACCAUUACUGUAACAGUGACCUGCUCAUAAUUUUUCGUGUUCACUCAAAUGUUGAAAUUAAACAAAAUGUUUUUGUUACUUGCCUCUUGCAUUGCCUAUUUACCAUUUAUGGUCAUGUUAUUUUAUGUGCAAUUUAAUGCAGUAUUUUUCAACCUUGGUCCGCAAGGCAGCGUGCCAAUAGUCAGACACACCUGGAUUAAUCAGUUUGUCCAAUGAUGUAAGACAGGAAAUAAAAGAGCUGUGCUUAAUUCAGGAAAUAGUGAAGUUGUGCACAAAGCUCAGAAAGCACAAGUUUGUUUAAAAAAAUAUAGCACAGCCCCACCAAAAAUAUUUUUCACCAGCCGCCACUGGUUGUUUGUUAAAAACCAUCCGACGCAAUCUGUGCCAAGUCUACGCACCCUUUGUGAGGAGAUUCUUGUGCGAUCCAGGGUGUUGAUGGUCACUGCUGGUGGAGUCAACCUCUGAUAUCAGGAACCUGUAGAUUAGCUCCGAUAGGACCCAUCUAAUCUGAGAUCUCUCCAGGUGAUGGCAGGAAGCUGGAAGGCUUAUUUGCGUCUAAGCUUGAUGUUUUCUUGGCUCAGAAGAGCCGGUUGUCUGAUAUCAGCCACAGCGUUGCAGAGAGGCUUUGACUGGAGGUCAAAGGAGAAGAUGGUUUCAAAAUUGUUUCAUUCCCGAUUUGGCCGAAUCGGGAGUCAGCUAGAAACUGAACUAAUCAGGAAGUGAUUCUUGUUUUAAUAAACUCAUUGUUUAGAAAGUCUGGUGCAUUCUGGUAAAUCAGAAUGUGCCAAGUCUUGAGGGCUUUACCAAACAUUCCUCGUGUGGCAUGGUGGAGAAACGAGGGCCCGGGCGGGAUUUGAUCCCCAGACUUCCAGGUGAGAGUAGUGCGCUAACCAGUCAGCCAAAGGGACAUCCCCGUGGCCAAGUAGUCAGGUUGCAUGAUAAAUUGGGACACUGUGACACUGUGACAGGACGCUCACACUGCUACACUCAGAAGCCACGCCUUGUUCAGAGACAAAGGUGUUUAACUCUUUGUGAAUGAGAAUGUUUUAAAACACUUAUGUGAAGUAAAUAUUACCAUUAAUAAGUAUCUUAUUGUAAUGUGUAUGAGUGUAGAUAUUGAUUAACUCAUUAAAUAAAACACAUACUGAUCUGGUGUAGAUGAGAUCUGAAAUGAAUCAUUGUAAGAACAGUAUUCUUUUUAAAGCCAUCAUUGCUUUUAGCACAGAUUAUUCAAACAUUUGAUUUAAACAUCUUGUUCAUUCAACACAUAUGAUUAUUUAAGCUUAUGAGUCGUAAAGUCCUGUAGGAGCUUCAAGUAGGUUUGAUUUUUAUUCAGGGUGAGGAAUGAGCAGUCUGGCUUUAAACAGAGACAACAGGACCUUUGCAGGAGACCUUGACAAUUUUCUUAUGUCUUCUUAUAUGCAAACAAGAAUUUAGCAGAAGUUUCUGGAUUUGGAGGCCAGUUGGAUAGUGGGUUUAUGUCUGCAAAUGAAUGGUUUUCCUGUGGUGAAUUAGACGGUGCAAAAUUGAUCAUUUGAAUACGUAACAGCUGACUAUUUGCUUCUAAUUCAUUGUUAGCAUUGUUAGCUCAACAUUAGCCUCUUGCAUGCUUCAUCUGAUAUUGAAGUAAAACAACAGGAUGCCAGGGCUGCUUAGGGUUGCAAGGACUAACUUCUGGGUCGCUCCUGUUGGCUAGCUUUCAACUCUGGAGUUUUCGCCUGCAAAUGUUACAUUACAAAUGCCAGUGCUGCAACAUUAGAUUAGUGCAGAUUUGGCAACCUCACGGGCUCACAGAUCGUAAACAGUAACUAUACGUCCCUCUUGAAUUUGUUUUAAAGGAAAACAACUGACAACCCUCCAGCUGGCUGAGAUUUAAAUCUGUUUCAGUGUGACCUUCCUUCCAACACUAUGGAGACAUGAAACAGUUUUGUGAUGACUUCACUGUAGAAUCAUUACAUACUGCUCCUUUAAGCUUUGAACAUCAUAAAGAAUAAUGAGGGUUAAAACUCCUCUCUUCUUUUGCUGAAGGCGAGGAUUAGUCAAAGAUAAAACUGUGAUUCAGCAAGUUCUCAUAGAAAAAUAUGUUUUUAUUCUGUUUUAC